rnacentral:rRNA from 1 species
UUCUACCUUAAUUUGGCAGGAGGGGCAUGUGCCCUUUUUCUCUUUCAUCCAUCACACACCCUGUGCGCUUGUGACACACAAAAAGAUGGGGGAGAUAAAUCCCCCUCCCCCUUGUGGUGUACAUAUAUUUCACACACUCUCCUUAUUUUUUACUGAGAGUGAUUGAGGUGACGCGCCUCAAACAAAAUUUCACCACCGGAUAUCUUGUGUCUCGCAUCUAUGAAAAAAGCGCCGAAAAGUGAUAAAAAAUGUGAGAUGUGCAAAUCUCAGGGAAUCUGAAUCUUAGAACGCACCUUGCGCUCCUUGGUAUUCCUUGGAGCAUGCCUGUUUGAGUAUCAUGAAAUCUUCAAAGUAAACCUUUUGUUAAUUCAAUUGGUCUUUUUUACUUUGGUUUUGGAGGAUCUUAUUGCAGCUUCACACCUGCUCCUCUUUGUGCAUUAGCUGGAUCUCAGUGUUAUGCUUGGUUCCACUCGGCGUGAUAAGUUAUCUAUCGCUGAGGACACCCGUAAAAAAGGUGGCCAAGGUAAAUGCAGAUGAACCGCUUCUAAUAGUCCAUGGACUUGGACAAUAUUCUAUUUUAUGAUCUGACUCAAAUCAGGUAGGACUAGCCGCUGACUAAGUGCACAUAUCUAACCGGAGGAGGAAGGCAUAUUUGGACCUUAUUUUGACGGGGUUGAGAUGGUGGCGCGGCUUUUCUUAUCUCAUUUAGGGGGGAGAGAGGUGUGCGCACUCCUUCCUCU